rnacentral:piRNA from 1 species
UGUGGAUCUGACCUGCUUUUCUGCUA